GGGGGUAUAGCUUAUUUGGUAGAGUGCUUUCCUUGCAUGCAUGAGGCCCUGAGUUCAAUCCCCAGUACACACC
rnacentral:tRNA from 1 species